GACGAACGCUGGCGGCGUGCUUAACACAUGCAAGUCGAACGGAAAGGCCCUGCUUUUGUGGGGUGCUCGAGUGGCGAACGGGUGAGUAACACGUGAGUAACCUGCCCUUGACUUUGGGAUAACUUCAGGAAACUGAGGCUAAUACCGGAUAGGAGCUCCUGCUGCAUGGUGGGGGUUGGAAAGUUUCGGCGGUUGGGGAUGGACUCGCGGCUUAUCAGCUUGUUGGUGGGGUAGUGGCUUACCAAGGCUUUGACGGGUAGCCGGCCUGAGAGGGUGACCGGCCACAUUGGGACUGAGAUACGGCCCAGACUCCUACGGGAGGCAGCAGUGGGGAAUAUUGCACAAUGGGCGGAAGCCUGAUGCAGCAACGCCGCGUGCGGGAUGACGGCCUUCGGGUUGUAAACCGCUUUCGCCUGUGACGAAGCGUGAGUGACGGUAAUGGGUAAAGAAGCACCGGCUAACUACGUGCCAGCAGCCGCGGUGAUACGUAGGGUGCGAGCGUUGUCCGGAUUUAUUGGGCGUAAAGGGCUCGUAGGUGGUUGAUCGCGUCGGAAGUGUAAUCUUGGGGCUUAACCCUGAGCGUGCUUUCGAUACGGGUUGACUUGAGGAAGGUAGGGGGAGAAUGGAAUUCCUGGUGGAGCGGUGGAAUGCGCAGAUAUCAGGAGGAACACCAGUGGCGAAGGCGGUUCUCUGGGCCUUUCCUGACGCUGAGGAGCGAAAGCGUGGGGAGCGAACAGGCUUAGAUACCCUGGUAGUCCACGCUGUAAACGGUGGGUACUAGGUGUGGGGUCCAUUCCACGGGUUCCGUGCCGUAGCUAACGCUUUAAGUACCCCGCCUGGGGAGUACGGCCGCAAGGCUAAAACUCAAAGGAAUUGACGGGGCCCUGCACAAGCGGCGGAGCAUGCGGAUUAAUUCGAUGCAACGCGUAGAACCUUACCUGGGUUUGACAUGGAUCGGGAGUGCUCAGAGAUGGGUGUGCCUCUUUUGGGGUCGGUUCACAGGUGGUGCAUGGCUGUCGUCAGCUCGUGUCGUGAGAUGUUGGGCUAAGUCCCGCAACGAGCGCAACCCUUGUUCACUGUUGCCAGCACGUUAUGGUGGGGACUCAGUGGAGACCGCCGGGGUCAACUCGGAGGAAGGUGGGGAUGACGUCAAGUCAUCAUGCCCCUUAUGUCCAGGGCUUCACGCAUGCUACAAUGGCUGGUACAGAGAGUGGCGAGCCUGUGAGGGUGAGCGAAUCUCGGAAAGCCGGUCUCAGUUCGGAUUGGGGUCUGCAACUCGACCUCAUGAAGUCGGAGUCGCUAGUAAUCGCAGAUCAGCAACGCUGCGGUGAAAACGUUCCCGGGGCU
rnacentral:rRNA from 1 species